rnacentral:rRNA from 1 species
CCUACGGGAGGCUGCAGUGGGGAAUAUUGGACAAUGGGGGCAACCCUGAUCCAGCCAUGCCGCGUGUGUGAAGAAGGCCCUCGGGUUGUAAAGCACUUUCAGUGAGGAAGAACGCCUGGUGGUUAAUACCCAUCAGGAAAGACAUCACUCACAGAAGAAGCACCGGCUAACUCCGUGCCAGCAGCCGCGGUAAUACGGAGGGUGCGAGCGUUAAUCGGAAUUACUGGGCGUAAAGCGCGCGUAGGUGGCUUGAUAAGCCGGUUGUGAAAGCCCCGGGCUCAACCUGGGAACGGCAUCCGGAACUGUCAAGCUAGAGUGCAGGAGAGGAAGGUAGAGUUCCCGGUGUAGCGGUGAAAUGCGUAGAGAUCGGGAGGAAUACCAGUGGCGAAGGCGGCCUUCUGGACUGACACUGACACUGAGGUGCGAAAGCGUGGGUAGCAAACAGGAUUAGAUACCCUAGUAGUC